rnacentral:rRNA from 1 species
UACGUAGGGUGCGAGCGUUGUCCGGAAUUACUGGGCGUAAAGAGCUCGUAGGUGGUUUGUCGCGUUGUUCGUGAAAACUCACAGCUUAACUGUGGGCGUGCGGGCGAUACGGGCAGACUGGAGUACUGCAGGGGAGACUGGAAUUCCUGGUGUAGCGGUGGAAUGCGCAGAUAUCAGGAGGAACACCGGUGGCGAAGGCGGUCCACUGGUCCGGUACUGACGCUGAGGUGCGAAAGCGUGGGGAGCAAACAGG